CAAAAUUCACAUACAACAACUGCAAGUGAUCCAUGUACAACCUCGCCUAAAGAAUGUAUUGAUGAGAUUGGGGAGUCGUCAUUGGAUAGGGGGCCAACUCCAGCUGAAAAUUGUUUUGAGGGACUAUCAUUACUUGCAGAUUCAUGUCAGAUCAACCAUCUAAUGCAUAAAAAGCUACAAGAGACAGAGGAAAAACUUCAUCAUCAGACAGUUCUUAACCAGCAUUUAAACUUACAAUUAUCAACCGUUCGAAAUCAACCAGAUUUUGCAAUUUAUAUUUUCCUUCCCAUAAGGAUUAUUCAUGCUAAAUCACGUUGAAUUUGCCUCAGAGAAGAAAAUCACUGGUUUAUUUUUCUACUACACUAACCUUAAACAUUCAACUUUUGUAACUUUGUACAACAUUUUAACUGAACAACAAAUGCCAGUAUUCCCAAAGAAAAGGAAAGAUGUGAAAACCAUAAAACCAGAAACUCAGCUACUAUUAACUCUGAUGCGACUUCGCCAUAACUUUGGAUUGAAAGACCUAGCUGCUCGGUUUUUGAUAUCAACUCAGUCUGUGAGUGAAAUAUUUUCUGCGUUGAUUGAACAUAUGUAUUUGAUCCUUGGAUCCAUACCAAUAUGGCCACACAGAAAUGACAUAAUUCGAAAUAUGCCUUUGCAAUUCAGAGUAGAAUUUCCAGACACUUUAGCCAUCAUUGAUUGCACAGAACUUAAGACCCAAAAACCGUCAUCGUUAAAAUUACAGUCACAGAUGUACUCUGAUUAUAAGUCAGCAACAACCCUGAAAGGACUGGUAGCAUGUGACCCCAUGGGCAACAUAAUUUUUGUAAGUGAGCUGUUUACAGGAUCAAUGCCGACAAAGGUUUCACGAUAUCUGGUGAACUUCAGAAUGUUGGAUUGCAUCUUAACUUGCCAUCUUUUGUGAAUUCGGGUAUUCAAAUGUGUCAGGCAGAUGUAGAAAUUACACAAAAAAUUGCAGCCCAUCGUAUUCAUGUUGAAAGGGCAAUUAGGAAAAUAAGAACCUUCAAAAUAUUGUCUGGUUGCAUUCCCACUAGUCUGUUCGGAUCAAUUAAUAAAAUCUGGACCGUUUGUGUACUACUAACUCUGUGGCAGAAUCCGGUGUUGAAAAAUAAGUGAUUUUUUUGCUUAAUCAAAAACAUGUAUUUGAUUUGUACAAUCUUGAUUCUUAAAUUGAACAUCUAUGUAUUGAAUAUAUAUGGUUACAUACAUGUAUGUCUUAUGUUGAUUCUUUCUGUUGGAUGAUUAUGUGCGAGCAGUGUAUUGUAUUACACACCUGAUAGCUGAGAGCUGACCCAAGCUUCACAUCACCAAAUUCACUUUUUAUUGUUGGUACAUGUAUUGUAUUCAACUUUGAUAUUGGUAGUCCAUCCAGUGACUUCAGCAUUUGAUGUGAUUGUUCUGUCAACUCAGGUACUCUAUUGUUAUAUUAAUUCAGAUGUGAUUGAAUCAGGUGAUGAUUUUUACAAUAGAAUUAAUAAAAUUUACAAUUUAUCAGAUAAUUCA